CCGCUGCUCCGCAUCCCCCAGGAAACACGCAGCCCCGCUUACAAAACCGUGAUUUGCGGAUCGAUUUCAGUCACCCUUUUUCUCUAGCCCAGAUCGAAAAGGAUGCAUCCUCCGCUUCUAGGUAUGCCGCCACCGCCGAGUAUGCCGGAGAAGACACGGCCCUCCCUCACAUUCAUGGACGUCUCCGUCACAUCCCUACGCGACGCCUCCUGCCCCGGCCACGCUUCCUACGCCGCCGGAACCGCCCCCAGUCAAGCAGUCUAUGCUGCGCCGUGUGGAGGAUGCCGCGAGGGAGGCGGCCGGAAUUCCGCGCCAGGGAUGGCGCCGCGAGUGGCUGCUUCUGGUGGUGGCGAGGAAUCCGCCCAUCAGCGGCGGCGGUAGGCACCAUGGUGCGAUCUGGCCACGCCCUGCUUCCCUCCGCUGGAUCUGGCCUCUCUCCACCCCUCAUGCAGGCUGCGCCAUGCCAAGCGGCAGGCGGUCACCCUUAAACCUCGGCGGCACGACGCUCAUUCUCCGAGCCAGUGGAAGGAGCGAGCGGACAAUUAAGAGCUUGUGAAACUUGCUGCGACAAUCAGUCUCAAGGCAAUGAACCUAGACCCAUUGAGCGCAGGGAUACGCAAACCCAGCUGGAUGCAUAGGAUACGGCGCUGUUAAAGUUUAAUUUGAAUGUUCGACCUGUAGCGUCACAAUACUAGAGGUAUGCUAAAAGCUAAGGAGAUGGCUUAUAUCUUUGGGAAUGCAUCCAUGGAGCUAGGCGAUUAACGGAGAGUCACAAGUAUACCAUUUAUUUAUAACAACAAUUUUUUUGCAUAGUUAGCAUGUAUAAUAGUCUUAUAAUAUAUAUUAUCUUCCUUUGUUGACAUCUUUUGAGAAAUUUAGUCACAACCAUUUCAAGAGCUUGUUCUCUAACUUUGUAUGCAAAUGUCAAGGAAAAAAAGUCCCUGUUGUGGUGUGUGCAUUAUGAUUAUCCUUAUACAGCGGUUCAGUUGGAUAGUUGUUCAAGACUAUUAUGCCUGAAGUUUUUAUAUAUUUGUAUAUUUUGAUAUAAUCUGAUCUGCCAAGAAAAUAGAUAAAUAUGAAAAUUAUGGUCAUUGGAUGAUCUGAUUAAUUGCCAUUCAAUGACAUGAGAUCGACAGAUAUAUUGAUGUUUCCUUGAUGUCCACUUUUAAUGAGCUCAUAAUAAUUAUUUUUUUGGCCUUGUUUUAGUUCAGCCGUGCAUUACGCAUUGCAUUUGAGGUUAUUAAUUAUUUGGGAUGAACCUACAAUUUCUUUUCAUGUCAUUUCUUGAUGAUUAGUUCCAUUGACACAAAUAGUUCCCGAAUGUUAAUAAUGGCCACUUGGGAAUUCCAAUGUCUGUUUUUACAUGUAUGCAUCUAAUUUUGAAGUCCUUUCAUGCAUAUUCAGCAUGUUUCUGCCGCGCUCCUCAUCUCACCAGUUGCCUCGGUAAGAUGUUGUGCUCUUAUAGAAUUUAGAGCAGCGGCCUUUUAGAACGAAUACUGCAUAACAUAGUGUUGUCCAGUGGAAUGUGGAAUUUUUUUGUUUGAUUUAUUUACUAUCCUUUGUGCUAAUUUACAUAUCUUAGAUUCCUUUGCUUUGUUUCAGCAGCAGAAUAUACAAGAUAGGAAAAUACUUCUAAGCUUUUUGUGAAAUUCUGAUCCACUGGUGAUUUUUUCUUUUCUUAAAAAGUUAUGGUGGUGCUAAAUAACUAUGGGCUCGGGAUCAAGGCUGUACUUGUUAUUGCCAAUGGGUUAUUGCUAUGUAUUUUUACAUGCUGACGGUGUUGAUAAUAAUUUCUGCAUGUCUACACAUAGUUUAUUCAUGCCACUGGAAAAAGCACCAAGAAUGUUGUGGGCAGAGAUGUCUUGGAGGGACAUCACAGGUUUGUUCAACGUACAUGCCAAUCCACCUUAUUAUAUUAGGACAUAUUACGCAUCUCCUUUAAUAUUAUUUUUCUGAUUUAUGUGCAUAUAUGCAUACAAUGAUGAGAUGUUCUGUUAGGAUAGUUUAUAUUAAGGAGCUUUACUAAAUAAUAGUACAAUGAUGGUACUGAAGGAGGCUUUGCAACUAGCAAGCUACUCUCUUUACAAUCUGAUUGUGAUAUGACUUAAAUGAUGUGUGGCUGUUCUGUUCUCUCGGACAAUAUAAAGCAUGGUUCUAUAUGCCCUGCUAAUUUUGUAACUUCCAAUGUUUUGUGGAGCCUUUCACAUUUGCACCGGUGUAACUGUGUAACCUUGCACGUAUGCUACAAUAGGGCAGAGCUGGUGUAGCAUCAUUAGUUUCUUUGUUGAUAUACUAACAAGUUACCCUGUCUGAUUUCUAGAAUGUUUGGCACCCUGUUUGCGUGCAAGAUUACUAGGAGCGACCUCUUCCUUGACUGUUUGACACAGCAAGCAUUGAACAUGGGCGCUCCCAGGGGAUGGAUGACCGUCAGGGGCAUCUCCCUUGUUUGGCCACGGCUUCCCUUUGACACCAGUGAAGUGAACAGCAGACGUGGCACCACAUCAUUCACUUGCCUACCAUAGAUUGACCGCUGAUGCGGGUGCUCCGCUCCACUACUCCAUCUCAUGAUAUAUAUUUCCUCUCUUUAUAUCCAGAUCCUAAUGUAUAGCAUGUAAAAAUGUUUAAAUUUAGAAAUAAUGUUUUGCCUUCUACACUUACAUUGUUUGGGUUAGUAAAAAUGUAACUAAAUUCAGCGGAUGGUGUUAUUUGAAGCAAGAUUAUAAGAUUUUUCCUCUGGUGUUA